ACUUAAGCAUAUCAAUAAGCGGAGGAAAAGAAACUAGGACAAGGGGAUUCCCCUAGUAACUGCGAGUGAAGCGGGAAAAAGCUCAAAUUUAAAAUCUGGCGGCUUUGUCGUCCGAGUUGUAAUCUGGAGAAGUGCUUUCCGCGCUGGACCGUGUACAAGUCUCUUGGAACAGAGCGUCAUAGAGGGUGAGAAUCCCGUCUUUGACACGGACUACCAGUGCUUUGUGAUGCGCUUUCAAAGAGUCGAGUUGUUUGGGAAUGCAGCUCAAAAUGGGUGGUGAAUUCCAUCUAAAGCUAAAUAUUGGCGAGAGACCGAUAGCGAACAAGUACCGUGAGGGAAAGAUGAAAAGCACUUUGGAAAGAGAGUUAAACAGUACGUGAAAUUGCUGAAAGGGAAACGCUUGAAGUCAGUCGCGUUGUUCAGAACUCAGCCUUGCUUUUGCUUGGUGCACUUUCUGRAUGAUGGGCCAGCAUCGAUUUUGACCGUCGGAAAAGGGCUAGAGUAAUGUGGCACCUCCGGGUGUGUUAUAGACUCUAGUCGCACACGGCGGUUGGGAUCGAGGACCGCAGCGCGCCGCAAGGCAGGGGUUCGCCCACUUUCGCGCUUAGGAUGCUGGCAUAAUGGCUUUAAACGACCCGUCUUGAAACACGGACCAAGGAGUCUAACAUGCCUGCGAGUGUUUGGGUGGAAAACCCGAGCGCGUAAUGAAAGUGAAAGUUGAGACCUCUGUCGUGGAGGGCAUCGACGCCCGGACCUGACGUUCUCUGAAGGAUCCGCGGUAGAGCAUGUAUGUUGGGACCCGAAAGAUGGUGAACUAUGCCUGAAUAGGGUGAAGCCAGAGGAAACUCUGGUGGAGGCUCGUAGCGAUUCUGACGUGCAAAUCGAUCGUCUAAAUUUGGGUAUAGGGGGCGAAAGAUUCUAAUCCGAACCAUCUAGUAGCUGGUUCCUGCCGAA
rnacentral:rRNA from 1 species